GAAACAAGCUGAACUGUUUUCAGCACUUUACCUGGCGGUCAUCUGCCUCGGCAGCCCUGGGAGACCCGUACAAACAGGACUGUCUCCUCUGCACUCAGGGGCGUGGGCUAUCUGGGAUGUCAGCCGGAGCCCGCACAGUCUGUAGCUGGGGUGGCUCGCUCAGCAAACUCCUGAGAGACACAUCGAGGCAUCACAGGCCUGAAACUGGCCCAUCCAAACGCAGAGAAGCCUGAACAAUUAACUUGGUUGAGAAGAGAUCCUUUCUGCCUCUCCCGGAUGGCCGGGGGUCAAGAAAACCAAGACUUCACUUCAAGCCAAGCUGAUGAGAACUGAGCGGGCAGGCUGGUGGGUUAGCAGGGAGAUCUUGGGGUGGAGGCUGAGAGGACUUCCAGCCCAGCCCUGGGCCUGUCUCAAGCAGCUCCUCAGAGAGGCAGCUGGGGGCCUUUUCCCCCUGGUGUCUGGGGUGGCCAAGGUGACGCCUGGGAGCCUUCCCCGGUGCCUCUGGCGUCUCCCACCUUCCUCCUCCCGCCAGCCGAUCCGCCCGCCUCCCUGCAAACAGCAGCCUGAAUUCCUGGUGGGCUGAGACCUUUUGCUCCGAUGGGAAGUGACCCAUCCUCCGCCCCGAGGGGAAGUUCUAGUGAGUCCAAGCCAGCGGCCACUUCUCCCUAGUGACCGGUCUCUCCUUCAGGGCCGGACUCAGUUCCGCCUCCUAAGGAACUGCCUGCGGGUUGCCCUUCCUGGAUAAAACAGGACUUGGGGGGAGAGGUCGUUUUUUCUUUUUCUCCUUGGGCCUCCUUCCCUCCCCGUCUAGCUGGGACACUGGCGUGAGCACGUGGCAGAGGAGCUGGGACACCAUCUUGUGACCGUGAGGCCGCACGCCUGAGCUCGGUUGUAUUAGUCUCGUCUGAGCCAGUGGAUUUGAGGAAAGGCCCCUGGAGGAGGUUUCUUGGGUGAUUUCAUGUGUCAGCUUGACAGACUGGCCAUGGUGUGCCAGGAGUAACUCCGUCCGGGUGUAUCUGCAUUGUGUUGCCGGGUGAAAUUUGAGUUCGAACUGGCAGACUCGGAGAAAAAGGGGAAAGUGGCCGGCCCUCCCGGGCACCGUGGGCCUCAGGCCUGAAUACAGGGACGGACAGAGGGAGGGGGAGGGGCAGGAGGAGGAACUUGUCCUGUUCCUGCCUGGCGGCUUGGGCUGGGAUUAAGCUCACCUUCCCGGCCGGCUCUCCCUCCUUCUGGCUUGUAGGCGCUGGGUGGUGGGACUUCUCAGCCUCCAUAUCUGUGUGAACCGAUUCCUUAUAACAUAUUUCCAUUUACACGCCCCGCCUUGGUUCUGUUUCCCCAGGAAACCCUGACUAGCACGUACACGGCUAUCCCAAGGGUGCCCUUGGGAGCCGUGCCUGUGAGCGAGUGAGGGACUCGGGGCAGGAUGGGACGAGCGGAGGUUGAACUCCACGCGGCACGAUAACCUUGUCCGAUCCGUCCCGCCUGGAGAGCCCAGAGCUGGGACAGCCCUUCCGGGGUGGCAUGAGGUGAGAACAGGGGGCUAUGUCCUUGUCUCCCCACACCGGCCAGUUACAGGGCACGGGCUGGCCUGGCGGUGAGGCAGCUCCCUUGGACGCAGGACAGAUGGUUCCCAGAGAGCCCGGGCUGGGCAUGGGCAGCACCAGCCCUCCCUGCGGUGGGGACUGGGUACCUGGGUGCUGGGGGAGUGCGCACCUCAGAGUCCCCUACAGCACUGAGUGACUUAGCCAACAGAACAUCCCACCAGCUGCCUGCCUCUGGCCUUUUUGUGGAUUUAAAGCGCUCUAGUCCAACACCCUGUUAUUCCCCAUUGAAGGCAUCAUCCAAGCUAGGCCUUUGACCUUGGGGCGCGCUGGUGAGUUGGAGAGAAGGGAGACAGAGGACUCAGCCUGAGCCAUGAAACAGGUGGGGAGGGACACGACUCAGUGCUCCCAAGCCUCACCCCAGCAGCAGUGGAUUCCACACGUCCACAUCCCUGCGGUGGAGGCUGACACUGCCCGUCUUUCCUCACUGGUUUCAGAGGUGGGAGCUGAUGGCACACCCUGUGAGGCUGGGACACACUGCUGUUGUCCACCGAUACCCUGCCCGCCAUUCUUCAGUAGCAGAACCCAGCAGUCCCAGCUGGGAGCGGACACUCGGCCAGAUUACACUCGCUGGCAUCCCCUGUGCGUAGGCUAUUCACGGGGGAUGUGAGUGGAGGCAGUAGGACCCAGUGAUUCACGGACAUGUGCCCUGUGUGUGGGUUUCAGGGAGUCUGAUCCAGCCUCCAGGCUCUGUGCAAACUCGUGUUGGUCCAGGGGCACCACUUACAGCAAUGGAGGUGGUAGCGGUGAGCCUGUGGCAGGGGGACACGUGGGCCCUCCCACAUACAUUGCACUGCCCAGAAGCUGCUGCCAGACAGAGCAAUGACGCUUCCUUUCAGCUCAGAGUUGAUAGUCCCUGAAUCAGGGCGCUCUAUGUGCCCGUGACCCCUUUAAGUAAAGACAUGGGUGUGGGAAGUAGGGGGAGGGACACAGGACCGGAUCCGCUUUUGUUUGCCAUUCUCACAAUCGUGUCCUCUUCUAGAGGUCCCGAGCCCCAGAGGGGGAAUGCUGCCAGAAAAGGAUGUGGUAAGAGUCUGAUUCAAUGUCGAGUCACGGCUCCUCGGGCCAGCAGACUAGCCAGGUGAAGAAAGAGGUCUCUCUGCGGCCACCAGGGGAGGUAGGGGCGCUACUGCCCAGUGGGGCCAGAGAACAUGUCUGGCACCUACACGAACUGGCCUCUCUGCCCAAUUUUGAUGGCAUGUGGACAAGUACGGCAGCUGUGGGCUGAAAGGGGUGUGAGGAUCGAGGGUCCAAAGCCUCUAGGACGAGAGUCUGGGUCACCCCACCAGGUAGCUCGUCCAGAAUCUGCAAGAGAUUCCCUCUGCAGAGGGAGUCUGCAGUGGGUAAGGGCAGAGGAAUAGGAAGUGGGCGGGGCACAGAGUGAUUGACCGAUGUGGCUCCAAGAUUAUGUCAACCCUCCUCUUGUAAGUUUCCACAAAAGGAAGCAGGCAGCAUCCUGGAGAUGCUCUUCCAAUGGGGACCCCUGUGACACUCGGGGGUCUGAGUGGUGCCAAGGUGGACUGCAGUCAGCACUACGGUGUGCUGUCCAGGUUUACCCCAAGGACGAAGGCUUUCAUUUCCUCUGUGGCCGGGAGUGCUGGCUGCUGAUGACUCAGAGAAGUCCCUCAUGGAGCUGCCCACAGCUGCAUGCCUCCCCGCGCCCCGCCGCCAAGGGGCAGCCCUGCAAUGACUGGUUUGUGCACAGUGCAAAGGCCCCACACUCUGGUCCCAAUUCAGGAUAUCUCUGCAGGGCCAGGGGCCCCUUACCGUUCAACCUCCCGUCCCUAGGAAGCCACCUACAUGCAAGCAUCUGUCUCUUGGGGGAACCCGACCUACAUCACUUGUAGCUGUGGCAAAGACUCACCUGUUACCCAGCACUCUAAACUUUUGUCUCCCUGCUGCAGCGGCAAUGCUCCCUCUCCCUGGAACCACUCCUUGCAUUUUGUUCUAUCACCCCCGCUUGCCUUAAACUACAGUCACAGAUCUUAUCGAUCGCCCCAACCCCUCCAUGCCUCUUAGUGAACGCUGCUCAUUCAGUGUCUCAUCCUUUUCCAAGAGUGUGGUCACAGACACAGCAGUAAGAGCUCUGUACUAGUCAUGGGCUGUCACACAUUAUAUACAUGGGAGAAGCCAUAAGUAAUAUAACAAUAGUGGCAUAUACUCCCUCUGCCACCAGAAAUAAAGCAUAACAAUAAAACUGAAGCCUCUUGAAUUCCUUACUUACUGAUCAAAGUCCCCACCAAUACCCAGAGGCGACCCCUCCCCUGAAUUUAGUGUUUAGCAUUUUUUUAAC